AGGCGUAGUCGAAUGGAUGAACGGGUUGAUAUUCCCGUACCGGUGUUACACCGUUCGAACUGAAUCUGAGAGUACUAACCUUCGUUAUUCUGGUUGAUUAUCUUUCGGGGUUUUCUUCUGGUUUAGUGUUGGGACUGUAUCGGUAGUAGGUUAGCGUGGGAGUGACGCGGGUAGGUAGCCGGCUGCGGAGGUGGUUUUCCGUGGCUAAGCGUGUGGGCUGUCCUCUAGGUAAAUCCGGGGGAUGUUUAAGCUGAGGCGUGAUGGGUAGGCUGUAAGGCUGAUUCCGGUGAUCCUGCUUGCCGAGAAAAGCUUCAACGUGAGGUGUGAUUCCGCUCGUACCCUAAACCGACACUGGUGGUCUGGUAGAGUAUACCGAAGCGAUCGGGCGAAUCCUGGCCAAGGAACUCGGCAAAUUACUCCCGUGCCUUCGGCAUAAGGGAGACCCCUGAUGGUGAUAUGGUUUCACAUUGUUGAGCUGUUGGGGGUGGCACAAGCUAGGGGGUAGCGACUGUUUACCAAAAACACAGGAGCGUGCGAAGGCGUAAGCCGCUGUAUACGCUCUGACGCCUGCCCGGUGCCGGAAGGUUAAGA
rnacentral:rRNA from 1 species